GGUAGGAACACCAAUAACGAAAGCGGCUCGCUGGGCCAUUCCUGACGCGUGAGACGCGAAAGCGUGGGGAGCGAACAGGAUUAGAUACCCUGGUAGUCCACGCCGUAGACCAUGAACACUAAGUGUUGGGGGAGUCGAAUCCCUCGGUGCCGCAACCAACGCGUUAAGUGUUCCGCCUGGGGAGUACGGCCGCAAGGCUAAAACUCAAAAGAAUUGACGGGGGCCCGCACAAGCAGCGGAGCAUGUUCUUUAAUUCGAUGCAACGCGAAGAACCUUACCUGGGCUUGACAUGGUGCUGCAAGCGCACGGAAACGUGUGACCUUCGAGGGUGCACCACAGAUGCUGCAUGGCUGUCGUCAGCUCGUGUCGUGAGAUGUUGGGUUAAGUCCCGCAACGAGCGCAACCCCCGUGGUGUGUUGCCAGCAUUAAGUUGGGGACUCACACCAGACUGCCGGUGACAAACCGGAGGAAGGUGGGGAUGACGUCAAGUCAUCAUGGCUCUUACGCCCAGGGCUAGAAACGUGCUACAAUGGCGCAUACAAUGGGUUGCAAGACCGCGAGGUGGAGCGAAUCUCAUCAAAGUGCGUCUAAGUUCGGAUCGCAGUCUGCAACUCGACUGCGUGAAGGCGGAGUUGCUAGU
rnacentral:rRNA from 1 species